GGAAGGCUGCUUCUAUCUAAUUAUGGUAAUCCAGGCCGUCCCCUCCCCCAGUGCUGUGCUGUUUGUAUUUAUUUUCCUUGAAGGAGAGGAGAGAUAAAGCAGAACAGAAGCUUUCUCCAGCCAUUAUCAGCUCCUUCCUGAGCUGGAUUUCAGCUAGGGGCAAGGAGAGAUUUAGAAGCCUUUUCCAUCUCCAGAACUUAGCCUAAUUUAACAUUGCAAUUCCUGCUGGGACUGUCGUGUGCAACCUGAAACAAGAUACAGUGGAUACACACAGCUCCAGGUUAUGUAUCAGAGAUGCAAUGCCAAUGUAAGCUGCCAAACCUACCCAAAGCAGGUUUACUUGGGCUGUCUCGAGUUGAAAAGCAGCCAGUCCAUGGAGCUGGAAGCUUCAGUUCAGGCCCUAGACUCCUGCUUGCUGUCUCAGGUACUUCACCUGCACCUGCCACUGGUAUUCUCACCUGCUCCUCAACACUAGCACUGAGAAACCUGAAUUAAUAGAUGUCCCAGUAUAAAAACUCCUCAGAGACAAGUCUGGCAGCUCAGUAACCUGCUAGUGCUAUGAGCAACUUUCUUACGGGUAAAACACCCAAACAAAGACACUAAUUGGUUUAUCCCUAUACCGAGUUAGGGAGAUUGAAAUGAAAGAUCGGUGCCUUGCCUCGUUCCUGUCAAAGCUGGCAGUGGAAGUGUUUGUUUGAACACAGAAAUGUGGUUAUGGCAGCCCCAGCGCUGCUCCCGAGGCACAGCCGGGAUCCGCGUUCUCGGAAACGCCGCGCCACAGCUCGGCUCCAGCGCUGGAGGAAGUGGGGGAAGGUGCAGAUAAGGGCAACUGCUGCCCUCAGAGUGCGGCAGGUGAAACACCGAGCCGACAGAAAGGGGAACAGGCUCCAGUCUGCGAUCCGAGCCACGUCACCUCCCCUUGGCUGGAGGCACUCAGGGAGCUGGGAACAUGCCUGCACACACGUGCACUCAGCCAUGGCAACGCCCCAGCCCAGCACAGACUGUGCCACAGAAACUGGGUUACACAAGUACCCAGGCUCUGGACAGUUUCACAAAGGGUUAAAGCUUAAAAGGGAGAGAGAAAAAAAAUCCUUGUUGAAGAAUGCAGCGGUGCAAAUGAAACUGAAAGCCUCGGCACAUGCACAUGGCCACAACAGCUAAAAAAUAACUCAUCACCCGGAUAAAAACUUGAAACCCACAGUCUGAGGCAUUUUAACAAAUGUGUUCAAUGUUUCUACUCAGCUGAAAGAAAAUCAGUUGCAAAAUGCACACUGAAAGCAAACAGUGAAUUUUGGUGAUUUAAGGAUACUGAAAGCUGUACCUCUCCUUAAGAAAAAAAAAGAAAGAAAAAAAAAAGAAAGAAAAAAACAGACAG